GUCCGGGCGGCCGGAGGGGACGCGGCCGGAGCCCCGGGAUGGGGAACAAAUCAGCCCAAAAUCUCAAAGAGGUGGCAGCAACAAUGGUCAGUUUCCAGGUGUCAGAGCAAGCUAAGAAGAAGGUGAAAAAGAAGAGGUGGUAACACAAAAGAGGGCAUCCUCUCUACCUUUUACAGCUCUGCCAAGUCUGACCAAAUUACAUAACUUCUUACCCAUGUGAAGCUGUGUUACACACAUAAAGUAACAACCAGGGUACAGCGAGUUACCUCCUACAUGCCAGAGGAUGCACAGAGACCAGGAGAGAGCGGUGCUUCAGUUUCAGCAAAGACCAGCAGUGACUGAUGGCAGAAGGGAAAAGGAUGCAAAGCAAGGCCUCAUGUUUAUUAUUCUUGGACUUCAGGAAGAAUGGAGUUGGCUUCUUGCUUAAAGCCAGAUUUUUACCUUCUUGCAGCCAUUGAACUUUAAAGGGAAUCUCUAAAGACCCCCAUGCAGAUGCUCAGGAGUGAAAGUGCAUCUGAAGGAGGCAAAAAGAACCAGCUAAAGACAACAGAAUUGUAUGUACCAAAGCUGCAAAGCACAGCAGUGUGUGGAAAUGAGAAGUAGAAAAUACAGCAUAGUGAGAGAAAGAAAUACACGAAUCAAGGAGCGAAGGAAGCAAUAUGAAAUGCAUUACAAGAAAAGGCAUACAACAAUUACAAUAAAGAGAAAAAAAAUCCAUACCUAGAAGAUGUAGAAAUAUGCAUAUCUUUAAUACAAUUAAAAAGUUUAAGUGCCAUAAGUAUCUUGUCCAAACAAGGCAGAGGCACCCAUCAUUGUGUGAAACUGCGCAGGAAAUAAAAGGAAGAGUCCUUUUCCCACACUGGAAACAUGUUAUCAUAUAGGUUCAGUAUGGACUCUUUAUUAGCAAAGUUAAGGGAAAUACAAAAAGUCAUUCAGAACAAAAA